rnacentral:rRNA from 1 species
AGUGAACGCUGGCGGUAGGCCUAACACACGCAAGUCGAACGGCAGCACAGUAAGAGCUUGCUCUUACGGGUGGCGAGUGGCGGACGGGUGAGGAAUACAUCGGAAUCUACUUUUUCGUGGGGGAUAACGUAGGGAAACUUACGCUAAUACCGCAUACGACCUACGGGUGAAAGCAGGGGAUCUUCGGACCUUGCGCGAUUGAAUGAGCCGAUGUCGGAUUAGCUAGUUGGCGGGGUAAAGGCCCACCAAGGCGACGAUCCGUAGCUGGUCUGAGAGGGUGAUCAGCCACACUGGAACUGAGACACGGUCCAGACUCCUACGGGAGGCAGCAGUGGGGAAUAUUGGACAAUGGGCGCAAGCCUGAUCCAGCCAUACCGCGUGGGUGAAGAAGGCCUUCGGGUUGUAAAGCCCUUUUGUUGGGAAAGAAAAGCAGCAGGUUAAUACCCCGCUGUUCUGACGGUACCCAAAGAAUAAGCACCGGCUAACUUCGUG